UGCGUUGUAGUGUGUCCUCAGUGUAACCAGACUAACGAGGGCAGUUUAAAGUAUGCAGAAGGACCCUACCCCCCCUGCUGUAUGACAGCCAACAAUGCCACCAUUAAUGAACCUGUCAACGACUGCUUUGUACAUUAUGAACACACGUUUCCUCAUUGUCCAAUACAUGCAUACAUCCUUCGUACUAAGAAUGAUGACCGGUGUGUGGACCCAACAGCCUGGUGGCUCCAACAAAGACUCAAGAAGUUAGAGGCGAGAGGAAUAUGUUGCAAAAUCCUCUGAAUGGUCUUUGGCAGCCACAAGGAAGAUAAAGCAUCAUGAGCUCCUAUGCAGAAAUCUACAACAUAUUUUCUUUCUUUUCUUUUUUUUUAAUAAUUCAAAUUAAAUGAUCAAGUCGCUCUUUUACUAAAUACAUGUGCAGUUGUUAACAUUGUCUUUGUAGGAAUCUGUAUUGUCUUCAUAACCAGGUAUCUGAUUUGCUUUUUACAUGAGUACAUGACAAAGACUUAAGACUGGGAAAAUGUCUAUGUGCCAUGACCCAACCCAUCUAUGUGUGUCUCAGUGGCUGAUAUUUGUGUGGAUGUAUAUGAUUGGUUGCCUUUUAUAUUUUCAGUUCUUUUUCUGCUCCAUACCUACCCUAUUUAAAUGGUCUUUGUGUGUUUUUAUGAUCAAUCUGAUGAAGGCCUCAAGCCAAAAG
rnacentral:lncRNA from 1 species